rnacentral:rRNA from 1 species
AGUGAACGCUGGCGGUAGGCCUAACACAUGCAAGUCGAACGGCAGCACAGUAAGAGCUUGCUCUUACGGGUGGCGAGUGGCGGACGGGUGAGGAAUACAUCGGAAUCUACUUUUUCGUGGGGGAUAACGUAGGGAAACUUACGCUAAUACCGCAUACGACCUACGGGUGAAAGCAGGGGAUCUUCGGACCUUGCGCGAUUGAAUGAGCCGAUGUCGGAUUAGCUAGUUGGCGGGGUAAAGGCCCACCAAGGCGACGAUCCGUAGCUGGUCUGAGAGGAUGAUCAGCCACACUGGAACUGGUACACGGUCCAGACGCCUACGGGAGGCAGCAGUGGGGAAUAUUGGACAAUGGUCGCAAGCCUGAUCCAGCCAUACCGCGUGGGUGAAGAAGGCCUUCGGGUUGUAAAGCCCUUUUGUUGGGAAAGAAAAGCAGCAGGUUAAUACCCCGCUGUUCUGACGGUACCCAAAGAAUAAGCACCGGCUAACUUCGUG